UACGGGGGGAGCAAGCGUUGUUCGGAUUUACUGGGCGUAAAGGGCGCGUAGGCGGUCAGCACAAGUCAGUUGUGAAAUCUCCGGGCUUAACUCGGAAAGGUCAACUGAUACUGUGCGACUAGAGUGCAGAAGGGGCAACUGGAAUUCUCGGUGUAGCGGUGAAAUGCGUAGAUAUCAGGAAGAACACCCGUGGCGAAGGCGGCUCUCUGGGACGGUACUGACGCUGAGGCGCGAAAGCUGGGGGAGCGAACGGG
rnacentral:rRNA from 1 species